GAUGAAAUUAUGAAUAUUUAAAUAAAACAUCAAAAAAAGUUGAGUCCUAAAGACCAUAACUCACAACACAGCAGAAGUAGAAAGCCAUAUUUAGCAAAAAGCAAAAACCUUAGGAUCCUCAUUACAGGUAGAAAGGGACCAGGUUUUAAGACUUGUCUAGAUUUAGGCAAAACCCACAAAUGCAACAACAUCAACGAUCAUAUCAUAUCAUAUCAGAUCAGAUCUCCUAUUUCUUGAGCUCCAUACCAUCCGGAGGAGUGCUCUCGAUUUUCUUAGUCCCAAUCGCAUUCGUCUAGAGCCUUUUCAUAUCCUAAGAAAAAUUACAAGAUCUACCACAUUUUCCCUAUUUGUUUCAAGAUCUACCACAUUCUUCUCCAUCUUUCAACUCAUACCACAUUUGUCUGUGAAUUGUCAAUUUUGCCCUCACAGACAGUUUUCCCGCCUGCGCCUGGCAACGAGUUGACAUUCGCACCUUCUCGUUUCCCUAUUAACCCUCGAGACCCGUGCAAAAUUACACCCCACAAACUUCUCUCCCCUGCGAGAAGUGUAACCGCUUUCGUCUCUCAUUCACUUUCCCUUUCUCUUUCUUCUCCUUCUCCUCUCAUCGGAAGUUAGUUACGGUAAACCAUUUUCGGCAGAUUCUUUGAAUGUAACUGACACUCGAUUUUGUCCCUCAUACUUGAUUAAUCACAAGUUAGUUUGUAGUCAUCUAAUUAUUGGUUCGUAGUCAUCUAAUUUGAUUUAAUCGUUUCGUCCCCAAUUUCUAGGGUUUCUGUCCAUCUGCAUGCUCCUUUUCCACUGUUCGAUUUUCAAAGAAAUUCUUAAUUUUUUCUCCUGUUUUCUCUCCUCCGCCGCAGAUGAAGUCCUCCUCGAGUAAAUUGAAACAAAAGUCUCCGCUUGGCAGUUCCAGGCGCCCGGUUUCCUUUGAAGACGACGACGACCCUUUUGUCUCCGCCAAGUCAACCGCGACCCACUCAAAUUCUCCAUAUCAGCCGCGACCGGAGAUCCCGGUAGUAAACAGGGACAAACUUCCGAAAAGGCUCUACGCCACUGACUGCUAUCCGCCUCUCGGACGUAUUAAUGCUUAUUCAAAGCCGGAGUAUCUGCUCGAUCUCGUCGAAAUCCUAGAAGGGACGAAAGAGUUAAAUUAUCUCUGCGCCUCAUGCUUUGGCCCGCUGUUUCAGCUUCCUGUCCGCAAAUGUUCGUUUUCCGGCAAAUUAGUACAUCAGAUGUUGUGUAGAGGCGUCUACACAAGGAAAAAACACGAGCUAUGGUUUAUUUUUGCCGGUCAGCCAUUCCGUUUUUCGUUAAGAGAAUUUGCCAUUCUCACUGGUCUGGAUUGUCGGCCGUAUUCUUCACCGGCAGAUGUAUUGAAGUCGCAGAGAGAAUGUACCAAAAAACAUCCGUACUGGAAUAUUCUCAUAGGCGAGGACCACACGGGUGUCCUCAUCAAGGACAUUGUUGACUGGCUGAGGAAAGACAAGAUGAAGCCCAAGAAAGAGAAGAUGGAUGACUGGAGAAGGCUUCGUCUCGCUCUUAUCGUGAUCGUUGAAGGGGUAUUGCUUUGCAGUUCCCAACCUGUGAGAGCUUCUCUUCAAGUUGUCGAAAUGGUUCAGCAUUUGGAGUCGUUUGAAGCGUUUCCAUGGGGACGAGAAUCAUUCCUUCUGACAAUGCGAAUGGUUAAGGCCAGUCAGAAGGUUAACAGUCUCUCUGCCCUAAUUGCGAAGUUCAACCAGUCUCACUCUUCAACCCAUGGGUUCCCUCUUGUCUUCCAACUGCUGAUGUUAAAGGCCAUCCCAGUUUUUGAGAGAUACCUUAAUCAACCUGAUGAUACGCAGACUAUCAUUGAUGGGUCAAUCACUACUUUGCCUCCGUUGAAGACUUUUCACAAUUCCAACAUAAUGGAAACAGAGCUAAUUCCUGGGGUAAUUAUUAUUUUUGUCCUUCUCGUGAACAUUAUUAUUUUUUUACCCUAGUACCCAAGUGUUUACUAAUUAAUUAUUGAAUUCAAUGUAGUUAAGGAUUGCCCCGCUGUUGUCUACUGAUGAUCCCCCACCCCCAUCGAUCAACGAUUGGCCUGAUGAAGUCUCUGACCCGGCGAUUGACUAUAUGGAAAGCCUUAUUGGUGGCGGAUACAAGUUCUGCCAAGCUGACUGGAUUGGUGGGUGUCGUACUUGGCCAAAGAUAGUCGUUGAUGAGAACCCCAAAGAACCCAAUGUUCGCAAGACCAAGAAGGUACAUGUGAGACGUCCAAAUAUAAACUCUGACAUGCCUGAGUUUCCCCAGGGUGGUCCAUCUGGUUCAUCAAAAGGUAAAGGGAAGGUCGAUGAAGACUUUUGUCCCCCAGCAGGGACUGAAGGUAAAGAUGUUCUCCAUGCUCUGAUCAUGGAAGAAGUUAAUUCGAAGUUCCGUGACAUGAAAGAGGAAUUGAAGGUUGAAUUGAUGGGUGAAGUCUGUCGGAUGUAUGGAGUAGAGAAGUCUUUAUUGAAAGACGAACUCUUAGACGAGAUUAUUAGCAAUCUGCGCCAUGGUGGGAAGUUUCCAACAACCCCCCCUCCGAAAGCUGCUUCACCAGGUAAAAACAAACCAUCUGAGGGACAAACCUAUGGUCCCCCUAAUAAUGCAAAUGUAAACAAGGAGUCCGGGGGACACGCAGAUGUCCCAUUAACGAACGCUGUUACUGAGGGACAAACGCAUGGUCCCCCAGAAAAUAUAAAUAUCAACAAGGUCCCUAGUGGGCAGACCUCUGAUUCCCCCCAUGUCCAGAUAGACCCUCCCGCCCCAAGUUCUCCUCAAUCGCCGUCUAAGGGGAAAAGUAAUUCUCAACUUUUGGAGGAGUUUCAGCGGCAAGCCUGGUCUGAGUACGGAGGAGUGUCUGAUGUUUUACAAAACCUCAACCAAUCUUAUGCAUCUCCCUCUGGUCCUGCUAAGUCUGGUCCGUUUGGACCUUCUCCUGGUCUUGUUGCUUCUGGUCCUUCUACCAUUCAUCCAUCUCCUUCUGGUCCUUCUUCCUCGAAGUUCUCUAUUGAUCACAACGUAAGUUUCCUUGUUGCUUCUGGUCCUUCUCUAUUGUUUUGACGUUGAAUAACCUCUGUUUCUUACAUAUUAUUCAGCCAAAAGACUUCCAAACUCCAUUGCCAACCAUUAGUGAGGACAACGCAGAGGAAACCGAGGACGAAGAAGUUGCAGAUGAGGUUUGUAUAUUACAUUUUUUUUUUGUCUACCUCUUUCUGGGAAUGGUUCCUAAACCAUUUUACACAGGUCCUGGUUGGAAAGUCUGUUAAAGAGAAUUUUCCUGAAGAUCACAACGUAAGUUUAACUAAAGUCAUUAUUUGUUUUCUUAUGUGGUGGAGUUUUUUGUUUUUCUAAUCCUUUUUUACUUUUAAUUCUCUUUACUUUUAGCCCAACGACUUCCAAACGCCUCAUCAAGAUGUAGAGGAGAUCAGUUCGGCUGAUGAAUCAGAGGACGAUCAAGAUACAGAGCAGGUUUGUCUUUGUUUCAACGUGGAUACUUGUGUCUUUCCAUGGAUAUGAUCCUCUCUUCUAAUCAACUAUAACAGGUUGCUGGUGGAAAUUCUUUUGGUGUGUCUGAGGACAUGGGAUUUGUUGGUGAGGAGAGAAGGGAAGCUAUAGAGAAUAAGUCUGUUGGUGUGUCUGAGCACGUUGAUGUUGUUGAGUGCGAGGACAGAAGAGAAGAAGUAAUUGAAAAGUCUGUUGAUGUCUCCGGGGACGAUGUUGAGACUGAGGUUUUAGAGGAUAAGUCUGUUUCUGGGGACCACGAACCCAAAGAGGGUGACGAGAGUAGUGGUGAUAGUGAAGGAAGGUCUGAAGACGAGGAUCACCAAGAUGAAGCUAUGGACGAGGUAUAAUACUUAUUUCUGUAAUAACUAAAACGCAAAUUCUAAUUUCUUAUCCCUAACCUGUCGUGCCCAUUCAUCUAGGCAAACAAAGCAUGGCCGCCAGAGCUUUUUAAAUCCUCAAGAGGUGCUGAUGAACAACUGGUUGACGAUCAAGAGGUAUCUCAUAAAUUUUCAGCAUUUUAAUUGUGGUUCUGUUUGUCCCUUUCCCUAAAAUACCUUUUUUUAUAGGGAAAUGCUACUGGUGGUGUGGCAAUUUCAGAAAAAAGUCCCUCUGGGAAAAAGAGAAUAUCUUCUUCUCUUGGCGGGGAUUCUUCUAAGCCGAUCCUCCCUCCCAAAAGGGCAAGGAAUAAAUCCCACCGUUUCCGUGACCCUAUUCCAGUCCAGGGACAAGAAUCCACAGGGACCAACAGUGUUUCCCAAUCAACUGAUGAGGUUUUGCACCCGUUUGUCCUAGUAAAUGAUGAUCUUCGGAAACAUUUCUUGUCCACUCUCAAAUCUUAUCGCCAGAGGUAAUUCAGUUUCUUAUUGAAUUCAUUACUUACUUCUUUUUCCCCAAACCUUUAAAUUACUAUUUUCCAUUAAUGGUCAGGGAGUUCGUCCUCGAUGCACAUGUUGUCCCCAGAUCAUUUUUUAAGGAUAUGCUUACUCCUCACCAUUCUGUCCACCAAGAGGUACGUUGUAAACCAAUGAUACCUGCAUUUUAUAAUAUCAUGUCCCUUAAAUUAAUUAUUGUCCUCUAUACAAUCCAGCACAUCGAUGCCAUGCUAAGCCUGUUGGCUCGGAGGUUUGGGGAUACUUUGGUCCAGAGUAGGUCUGCCAUACUUGAUUCAUGGUUUUCGAUUACCCUUAGCGAACUCUAUUCUCGUUUCAAGAAGUCCAAAAGUAAAUCUGAGUGGCCGUGGAACAGUAAGAUACGGGACUACGUCAGGGGUAUAGUCCCUGGCCGAUUCACGAGACAGGCUUGGUUUUCUGAUGUCGACACUCUGUACGCGCCUUUACAUCUGUCUGGGGGCCACUGGGCUGCGCUUGUCAUAGAUCUGAAAGAGGGUACCAUAGGUGUUCUUGACCCUAACGUGGCUGCCAAAACCGACAAACAGAUGGGCGUGCUCAUGAAACCUCUCGUUGUGUUGCUUCCUUUUAUCAUCAAAUCACUUGUCCCCCAAGAUGUUCUCUGCAAUCAUCAAGUUCCCCCUGAGUUCGCCUUUGAUCGUCUUCCUGAGAUCUUUCAAAGCGAACAUGAAGACGAAAGCGGCACGCUUGCUAUGAAGUACAUUGAGCUUCAUUUCCAAAACAUUAGUCACGACAGCAUAACUGAAGAACUUGUGGAGAAUAUCCGGAUGAGAUUUGCUGUCGACAUCUUCGAGGAGUUUGUUCAGCCUCUCCGGCUGUGAUCCCCCUUUCAAUAUUUCUGCUUAAGAACUUAUGUCUUUUUGUAAUAAUUAUUUACUCUUCUUGGAUGCUACUUGGAUGCUUAGGAACUAAAUAUUUUUAAACUGCUAUCUAUUUAGGAACUACUUGGAUAUUUAGGUUGUCCUCCGCAAACAGAGAUCCUGUCUCCUAAAAUAUUCUAUAUUAUGUUGUCCUGUCACAAUUUUGGAUAGGCAAUUUUUACAAACAAGUCAACGUUUAGAUACCCAAUAACAACAGUAGAAGCCAGUUGCUCUCCACUAUUCUCUCCCCUAACCCGUUACGCUUCCCCAUGAUUUUCCUUCUGUGUCAUCACAUCAGCGAAAAGGUAACUUUUUGCUUAAUAAAUUUAUAUUAUAUUCUUUUCAAGAUUUUUGGGCACCAGUCUCUAUUUAUCUCUCCACAUUAAUGAUCUCUUCAUCUACACAAUUAUCCCCUUUCUCUCAAACUCCCCCCAGCCUACUCCAUAAUUUCUACCAUCUAAUUGUUUCCCACGAACCAUGGGCCUCCAUAGUUAUACCCAGUCGAACGAUUCAUCCCGAGAAUCUCUUAGUUCUUAUGGACCUGUUUAUCCCGGGCCAAUGUCUUUUGAAAAUCUUGGUAUACCUCGUCACUGUUACUGCGGAGGGACGGUCGUACUUGCGAAUUCACUCUCCGAGGACAACCCUGGCAGGCAGUUUUAUCAGUGCGAGAAGAGAGAUGUAAGUUUAAAUCCCACUCUUACUAUAUUCAAUAAUUCGAUCUACUAUAGUUACAUUUGCUAUGUUUGUAUUCAGGACCGAUCUGGGCGCCAUCUUGUUAAAUGGUUGGACGAGGGAUUUAUGGAGGAGAUUUCUGCGAUUAAGUGCUCUAUUAGGGAACAGGAAGAACACCUUAAGUUCCUACUUACCGCCCCUAACGGGGAGCACAUGGAUCUUGCCUUGAUGUGCGAUCGUCUGGACCUUUACCAGGAAGACAUUAAAUUGCUUCAGCAGAAUUUAUGUCUUUUGCAACGCUCCCCUCGUUCCAUUGUCGACGUCGCUCGUUCGUGUCCUAAAAUCAUCGUUCUCGUCCUUGCGAUUAUUGUCCCCGUAGCCGCGUUCGUGCUUGGCACUUAUAUGUAGCUUUAAUAGCUCUUUUUUCAUCCCUCGGCUAUUAUGUCCCCCAUUUUUUUCAUCAUGUUGUCUACUGGGGACUAUCGUGUAAUGUUCGUCCCUCUUUUAUUGUAGCCCGAAUUCUACAAGUUAUCUAUAUUUAAGAUAUGAAGCUAUCACUUAGAGACGUUCGUGUCCUCCCAACGUGUUUUUGCUUACACGCGAUUAUUGUACCCGAGACGCUUCCAAGCUUCGACUCAAUUCUACAACUUAUAUAUAUUGUAAAAAUAUGAAGUAUCAAGAUAUCUCGCCCCAGAUCUACUUAUUUCUAUGCCGACAAGCUACCGUAAAUUGUAUAUUCACAUCCCCCAAUGCAAUACGAAACUGCUAAACAGUUAUCCCUUAGAAUAGUUAAUCACCUAGUAAUGAGAUAGGUCUUGUCACUUUAAUUAGUAUUUACUUUUCCACAUUCAUUGUCCCCAACUACUAAUUCAAAAUCUCUAACAGCAGCAUUCAUUGUCCCCAACCAUUAAUUAGUAAUCCCAUCUAUAUAUAGGUAAGUAACAACAUUCAUUGUGCUAAACCAUUCCUAAUUCCAAUUCCUUGAUAUGUUUUUGUGGCAAAAGCUUCCCAAACAUCUUAGAGUAUCGAUUGUCCUUCUUGUUGGUAAGUCAUGUUACCGACACUUAGGUCCCCUUAUUCUCUCUGGGAACGCUGGCAUGCGUCUCGCACUUGAUCCUUCUGUUUUGCGGGAGACUUCUCUGGCUCUCCUUGAAGCGCAUCCUCAAAAUGUUUUCAUCGGUUCACCCAUUUACUUCUUUGUUUUACGAUGUGUAAAGGCUGGAAAUCCUGCUGCUUGUUACUUAGAGAGCAUUAGGCUCGCUACAGUUGAAGGUUUAAUCAAAGAAGCAAUGCACAUGCUCGCUCAUAUACCCGAUCCAUCCGACAAAAUUCUUUUCACCAAGGGUCUCUACCUUGUCUCUAUUAAUAGACCUAAGGAUGCGAUCAUCGCCAUGAAUCUAUUCAAACAAGAAGUUGUCUCUUCUCGCAACGCUGAUCGUGUGGCCAAGCUUGUGAUAUCCGAUAUUAAGAAGAUUGCCCCAACCCAACUUAGAUUCAACUGGACUGGCUAUACGUGCUACUUGAUCCAUCCCCCUCGUCGAUAUUCAGAAUGUUCCAACUGUAAUGUUUGGAACCCCUGUCCUCUCUGUGUUAAUUGGUGGGUCUUAUGAUUUGUUUGUUUUUCCUUUAUAUGGUCUCCCAUAUAUUUUUGUCUUCCGCGAAGAUGUAUAUGAUAAAUAUAUAUAGUUUUUGUUCGAUAAGUUGUGAGAUGUGCUUGCCAAAAGAUACCCAUACAUGUCAUACUACAUCCAAUUACCAAAAGAUAAAUAUAUAUUAGUUAUACUUUCCGUGUUAAGCCAUGGACUAAAAAAUUGGAUGUUAAGCCAUGGACUAAACAAAUUUCCCGUGGCCUAUCCAACCUACGUAACGAUAAACCCUCUUUUCCGCAAUACUUCAUGGACCAAAAGCCGCCGAAGUAUUAUUCCCUAAAACUUAGAUAGGAUUUUUGCAAGUUGCUCUGUUGUGGCCAUCCUUCCCACAUGUGGUGCAUUUGUUAGGUUUUUUUUUCUUCCCUCCUUUGCCCUGCAACACAUACAUGGACACAAUUAAUUUUUUUGUGUUGAAGGACAAAACUCAUUUAAGACUCUUAAUUUGUUACCUGAUACUCUCCCCGCGAUGGUAUGCGUACUGUCUUUGGUCUUCCGCCUGGUCUUCUUGUUUUUGGUGGAUUCACAACCAUUUCACUAACUACGUUUGGGACCUCCGUGUCUUUUUCCUUAGGCGGAAGUAGAAUAUGGGCACGCCAGAGCUUACGCCACUCCGUCACGAAUGCAUAGUUCCCGAUCAGGGAGUAAAUGUCCACGUUCCUUAUCCCCACCGCGGCUAAAGCGUGACAACACGGCACCAUUAGCACAUCAAAUACUCUGCAAGUACAUGUUUUUUUCUCUAGAUCCACAGUGAAAACGAUACCAAAACCGUCGUUUACUUGAUAAAUCCAUUCACUUGCUGCUAUGACAGCACAAUCUGUCGCUAAUUUCAGGUGAUCUAUUAGCAUUUCCUCGAUCUCUGGCGUACAUCUUGUCCUCGUUCUAGUUGCAGCUUCUCUUCUCUCGUAAAACCAACGCAUUAACAUAGUCCUAAUGAAUUCUACCAUCGUCACUAUCGGGAAAUCUAUGGCUUUUUGCAUUGCAGCAUUUAGGGACUCCGAGAUAUUGCUGCUCAUCACAUUGUAUCGCAUUCCUGGGAAGUACGCAAGUGUCCAAUGAGAUAUUCCUAUCUCUACCAAAUAAUUGGCACAAUUGAUGUCUCUUUUCUGAAUUUCUUCAAACCAAUAUCGCAAAUCUCCCAUAGUGUAAGAUCUAGCCGCAUUGGACACCAUUUUAGCAAGCCCCUCACACUUGAAAUGGUGGACAACGUUCCUAAAUAAAUGCACAGUGCAGCAAGCGUGCUUUGCAAGUGGAUACACUGUCCUUAGUCCAGCAUAUAUGGCCGCAUGUCUGUCGGAGACGAAGACAAGAUCGUCUUCAUCAGGGACAAACUGUAACAGUUGUUUGAAAAACCACGUCCACCCUGCUAUGUUCUCACUGUCAAUGACUCCGAAUGCCAAUGGGAAUAUUUGAUAAUUUCCAUCUUGUCCACUGGCAGCAACUAAACAGCUUUUGUAUUUCCCUUUAGUCUGUGUUCCAUCUAUCACUAUUACUUUCCGCAAAUACUUAUACCCAGCAACUGAAGCCCCAAACGCAAAAAAUAAAUAUUUGAAACGGAUUUCCCCCUCCUCAGUAUAAUCCGUAUGGACUGUGGGACAGCGUANNNNNNNNNNNNNNNNNNNNNNNNNNNNNNNNNNNNNNNNNNNNNNNNNNNNNNNNNNNNNNNNNNNNNNNNNNNNNNNNNNNNNNNNNNNNNNNNNNNNNNNNNNNNNNNNNNNNNNNNNNNNNNNNNNNNNNNNNNNNNNNNNNNNNNNNNNNNNNNNNNNNNNNNNNNNNNNNNNNNNNNNNNNNNNNNNNNNNNNNNNNNNNNNCACUGCCACGAGCUUUUUCAUCGGCAUCUCGUUAGAGGUCCAAGCUUUCAUGUAUGAUAUGGUAACGUUUAUUACAGCCAAUACUAUCUCUGGUAGUUCACAGGCUCUAGGUCCCUUCUUUCCAUGCGCAUAUUUUGCUUUUAGCAACUCGCCUAGAAUCGAUCGUGUUGCUUUCAUCCCGUACUUUGACCGCACUUUCACAUCACAACUAUGUCUUAGACUCGCUGUUCGAAUUUCCACAUUCUCCGAGUUCUCGUGAAACGUUGCAUAUACCCUCCAAUUACAUUUUUUAUCAUGGCAUACUGCAAUUACACGCGUCUUGUCGGAAGCUUUUAUUCGGAAAUUGAAUAGCCUUUUUAUAGAGUACACAGUUAAUGCCUUAUGCAACUCGCCUUUGUUCUGGAAUAUCCGCCCAAUAUAUAUUGAAUCCCCAGCUUUCCUAAGAUUCAUGUUAGCCUUGUCCUGCGCAACUCCGACUGCGUUGUCCCUGAACGGUGCGGCAUCUCUACCCAUCACAAUAUCGUCCCCCACAAGUUCAGUAAACAUUGUCUCCCCCAUUGUAAGUUGCGACCUUAUCUGCCCCAUUUCUGCACUUUCCUCUCCAACACUACAUCCCAUUGUCACCUCCAAAUUUCCUUGUCCUUCUCCUUCCUCAAAAGCCUUAAAAGUUGAGGCAUCUUCUCUUCUUACCAACGGUGUCACCGUAACGUCCACUUGCCUCAUUCUGGUCUGCCCCAGUUGAAUUGACAUGUCUCCACUUUCCUCUCCACCUUCAACAAAUGCUGUCGCAUCUUCUCUUCCAUCGAUCUGAUUUACCUCAACUUCGACUAGUAUUGGCUGGUUUUGUCCCUCUGGUGGACCCAACGAUUCUGUCAGUUCGAGUGACAUUUCUGCACUUUGUCCCCAUCCUUGUGAAGUUGUCCCCUUUUGUCCCCGCAGUUUUCUACAUUCCUCUUCACCUUCAUCAAAUGUUGUGGUAUCUUCCCUUCCGUCCAUCUGAUUAACCUCGACAUCGACUAGUAUUGGCUGGGUUUGUCCUCCUUGUGCAUCCACACUUUCGUCCCCCACAUACAUAUCGUCCUCGUAUAUAUCGUCCUCCAUACCGGAAUAUAUAUCGUCCUCAACUCUACCAUUUUGUCCCCCCGGCGAUCCGUCUGCAAUUGUCAAUGCUUUCUUCCUCGAAUCCUUCCAAGGAUCCCAAUCUGGCGGGUACUCCCUAUCGAUCAACUCCCUCAUAUUAUCAAAGUCAUAGUCGCCUGAAUCUUCUCCCUCACUUAACAUGUUGUCUUCCGACUCGGAUGCCCAUCCUCCACUAUCCGUGCCCAAUGCUACCACCAGUUCCUCUUCUCGUCCCCGCUUAGCUUUUCCCUUUUGCAGCACAGCUUCCUUCCUUUUAUAAGAUUCUUCAAACGCAUAUAUUUCCUCUAAAAAGUCCUCUUCCUCAAAAGUUACAGGAAUUAUCUGCGUGCUUUCACUCUCACCUCUGUGCUGUCCCGCCAUUUCUUGUCCCCGACAAUCGUCUUGUCCCCCGAGAUUUGACACAUCUUCAUCGUCUUCUUCUAAACAUAGAUACAUGUUCAUACCUCCCUUUUCUAUUCUUACCUUUUUGAAUUUCGACAAUGAACUCUCGCUGUCAACAGAGACUGGCGGCAUCUUUUGCUGCGUGUAGACAGUGUCUCCUCCUUCGAACCAAAAACUCAGCUCCAUUUUUGUUCUUCUUCUGUCUACUCCAAACGCUGCGGCAAUUUUCUGCUCAACAUCGGCAAUCGUAUCUCCUGCGCUUACGUCUACACACUUUGCAUAUUUCUUUGCCGACAUCUUGAAUCGCCACUCUCCACUUUCUUUGCAUUCCCAGCAACCGACCAAUAUCAUUACUCCUUCGUCCAUCAGUACCUGUCGUCCUCCAAUAAAUACCACCAUCUUAGAAUGUAGAAUGUGGGUGGUUGCAUUUAUCACAAACAAACAAAUCUACCCUUUUUCGGUGGACAAAAAAUGUUGCAAUAAAUUUUACCUUCUUUAGCUUUAAAUGCACCCUUCUUCAACCAGAACUCCAAUUUCGCCCAGCAUCAGAGUUUUCUCCCCAGAUUUCCAGUUUUUUCAGAUCUACAAAGCUCUUUUGUCUGAUAUAUUAAGAGAGCAAUUAAUGGCCUAACCCUACUCUAUUAUCAUUUCUAUUAAUUAAAAUCAAUUAUCUACCACAUGUAACCGUGCAGCAUUAAUUGAUGCCCUGCUCCUUCUUUGGAAGCGCCGAUAGAAGCUGUCUCCGUCUCUGACACAGCCUCUCUGUCCCAAUCAGGGGUAUUUUCGUCCAUGGUCGAGCGCGUGCAAUUGAGAAAUGGUACAUUUUGAAAGGCUUUUGCGAAAGUGGUACAUUUUGAAUGUCAUUUGUUUAAAUGUGGUACAUUUUGAAAUAUUCCCAACAUUCAUCAUAUAUGGUAUAAUUAAGUAUUUUAUUUAAACCAUCUAUUUUAAUGUUUGUUUGAAUGAUAAAAAUAUCCGGUUAAUUAGAUCUUAGAGCAACCUCAAUGGAGGUUUUUUACAAGGUACCUUAACAUUAAAAUAUUAAAAAAAAAUAGAAAAAGAAGAGAGAGAACAAGAAACAUACCUUAUAUAAGGAAUGUUUCUAAACAUUUUAGAGACCUUUUGUACAUUUGUCUUCUUUUUAGUGGUCUAUUUAUUUUUAUAUUAAAAUAUUAAUAUUUAAAUUAUAAGAAACUCAAAACUUAUUUCUAACCAUUGUGGUUGCUCUUAAUUAGGGAAUAGCUUGAGAUUUUUAGUCCCGAAUUUUACGUUUAUAAAAGAACAAUAUAUCAUAUAUGGAGUAUUUAUUUGAUAUAUGAACGAGCGUGGUGAUUGAUGGAGAAGCUGUUGCUGGACUAAGGUCGCUCUCAACAGAUUCGAAUGGAAGGGAAGAUGAAGAUAGAAGUGAAUAGAUGGUGAAACUGUCGCUGGACUAAGGUCACUCUCAACAGAUUCGAUAGAGAUGGAGAUGGAUAGUUGGAUGGAUCGAAGUUCGCCACACAAAGUUGCGGAAUGACUUUGUGAUAAGAACACAAAUCAAUAUCUAAAUGAAUCGCACACAAAGAUAAAGAUUCCAUUUGUUUUCUAAAGGAAUCACACACAAUAGAAAAAAAACAAGUAAAACAAAAGCCUAAGCUUUUAAAAGUGAGAAACUCUCUCUUUAUUUUUUUCCAAAAAUCUAUAUAUUUACAAUGAAGGAAAACAUGAGCUUAUAUAAGCUCAAUUUACAAAUCAAUAACAUAAGUACAAAAUAAAUCAAAUUAAUUACAUGAAUCAAUCAAGAAUAAAUUUGAGAGAUUUUAUCAAUCAACAUUGAUGGAGAUUGGUUCUUUGUAUCUAGACACUUUCUUGAUAUAGUCAUGAAUUGAUUGUCUUCUAGAAACUUCUUUAUAAUUUGAUCUUGAUUUUCCUUGAACCAAUCCUUGAUGAGUCAUGGAUAUUUCUAGGACUACAUCAUUAUUAUAAUGAUAUUUUGUAAUAGUGGUAUUUUAUAGAUAUUGUUAAAGAUACUAUAUAAUUUUUAAAAAAAUUAUAUACCUAAUUAACAUUUUUAAAAAGGUAACAGGUAAACAAAUAAUUGAAACACUUUCUACGAUAGUUUUACCCCCUGUUCUAAAAAUCCCCGCCUAGCCCCGAUUACUCCCCGCUUAAUCGCUAGGCCCACCUUAUCCGCCUCGAUUAAUGACUAAUCCCCUAAAAAAUCAGUAACCCGAUUAUUCUCCGCUUAAUCCGAUUACUUUCCGCCUAAUCUUAUAUACCCCGAUUAUUUUUUAGAUUGCAAGUAUAAAAAACUUUUUAUUUUUGUUAUUCAAUCAUUUGAAUGGAGAGUUUGUGAUGUUUUACAAUAACUUGUGUUCAAAUUUUAAUAAAAAUCAUAAAUUUGUAAUAAAAAUCAUAAAUUUUUAUAAUAUUGGAUUAAUAUAUUUUAAAAAUAUUAAAAUAACCCUAAAACUAAUCCCCGAUUAAUCCCCGAUUUUAAUCCGAUUUUCCGAUUAAUCGCUAGGCCCAUGCCGAGCGCCCGACUAGCGCCUAGCGAUUUUUCAAACAAGGGUUUUACCUGAUUACCUCGUACACCAUCUCUGUUUUUAACACUACAAUAAUGUUCACGUUCAAUCUCGAGCAAAUAGAUUAAAUUAUAUACUGAUCAGUUAGAUCUACCAGAUGAUAAACCUUGUUAAUUAGGAACGCAAAUUACGGAUCAUGCUAUCAGUCUUAAAUAGAAGAAGAGUUUACAAAGUCUUGCAAAAAAUAGGGUUUACAUGAUUCAUGGAGUACCAAUCGAGGUAAUAAAGAACCCUAAUGCAACAAACUCAAAGCCCUAUAGUGUCAGUGACUGUAAUAGGCCACCUACAAUAUGUAUAUCGAGGAAAUUGGGGAAACAGGAGAGAAACAUUUUCAGCGAGAUUGGUGUCAGUCUCUUUCGUUCUAAACACGAAAGUGAGACGUUCCUUAUCAGCUUUCUCAACCUCAUCAAGUGUCCGGUGGUGAGCAAGAUGAUCUCGACCUUCUAAAUGACGGAUGCGUGCAGAAGAAGAAACUGCAGACUGGUUGAUAAAGAGCAAGAGGAUCAUGAUGCUGAUGAAGCUGAUUCUAAAGUAUUCACCAUUGUCGAAGAGAGGCUUUUAGGGUUUUUUUUUUGGCUGUUGAGAAAACUUGUAGAUUUUGUUUUUGAUGUGUGGAUUAUUCAUAGAUAUAUGAUCAUAGGCCGCCUUAGUUUUCUUCCCUUUUUUUUUUUUGAUAGAUUUAUAUAACAACUCACAAUUUUAUCGGAAAAGAAAGUUGAAUUUGGUUAUGCGUCUUUUUGAAUAAACAAAAUAAAUAUGAACACAUAAAGUUGUGAGAUUUGGGAGUUUUUUUGUAUACAAAUUAACAUUGUUCUUUUCUUUUCUUUCUCCAUACUAGAAAGUUUAAAACAAAUCUAAAGUGACAAUAUAGAAUCUCCAAUGUCUAUCUCUUUGGUUUUGCAGACUUAAGUUUCAAAGAAAAACUCAAGAACAGUGAUCAUGAUGAUGAAAUUAUGAAUAUUUAUAAAUAAAACAUCAAAAAAAGUUGAGUCCUAAGACCAUAACCAACAACAUAGCAUAAGUAGAAAGCCAUAUUUAUCAAAAAGGAAAAAACCUUAGGACCCUCAUUACAGGAAGAAAGGGACCAGGUUUUAAGACUAGUCUAGAUUUAGGCAAAACCCACAAAUGCAACAAAAGCAAGGAUCAUAUCAUAUCAGAGAUCAGAUCUCCCAUUUCUUGAGCUCCAUGCCAUCCGGCGGAGUGCUCUCGAUUUUCUUAGUCCCAACCUCUUGCCAGUUUGUUGACAGCACUGUCCCAUUCGAUUCCACCUGUUCAUUGUUCAAACCCCGAAAACUGGUAAAUGACUCCAUGAAAAGAGAAAGACCGAAGAGAAUAUAGAUAGAUACUCACA
rnacentral:lncRNA from 1 species